UAUAUAUAGGACCACCCCUGGGACAACGUAAUGGGACUGUCUAAUUUGCAUCUGCACUUGCUAAUCAUUGCAUUCUUUAUCAGCAGUGUUGACAACACGCAUUUACAGCAUGCCUCGUGGAAAACAACUCACAGAGGAAGAAGUUCGAGAAGUCUAGUACCUGCAUGGUGCAGGAUGGUCACAACGGAAAAUUGCUGGAAAAAUUGGGCGGUCCAAGCAUGCAGUUCAACUCGUGAUUAAACGUGGGAUAUCUGGAACAACAAUAAAACGUCCUGGACGAAAACAAAGCCUCUCUGCAAAAGCCAGAAG
rnacentral:lncRNA from 1 species